AACGAACGCUGGCGGCAGGCCUAACACAUGCAAGUCGAGCGAGGACUUCGGUCCUAGCGGCGGACGGGUGAGUAACGCGUGGGAACGUGCCCUUUGCUACGGAAUAGCCCCGGGAAACUGGGAGUAAUACCGUAUGUGCCCUUUGGGGGAAAGAUUUAUCGGCAAAGGAUCGGCCCGCGUUGGAUUAGGUAGUUGGUGGGGUAAUGGCCUACCAAGCCGACGAUCCAUAGCUGGUUUGAGAGGAUGAUCAGCCACCCUGGGACUGAGCCACGGCCCAGACUCCUACGGGAGGCAGCAGUGGGGAAUCUUAGACAAUGGGGGAAACCCUGAUCUAGCCAUGCCGCGUGAGCGAUGAAGGCCUUAGGGUUGUAAAGCUCUUUCAGUGGGGAAGAUAAUGACGGUACCCACAGAAGAAGCCCCGGCUAACUCCGUGCCAGCCGCCGCCGUAACAC
rnacentral:rRNA from 1 species